rnacentral:rRNA from 1 species
UACAGAGGGUGCGAGCGUUGUUCGGAAUUAUUGGGCGUAAAGGGCGCGUAGGCGGUGCCACAAGUCACUUGUGAAAUCCCCGGGCUUAACCCGGGGCCUGCAGGCGAAACUGCCGUGCUUGAGGGUGGGAGAGGUGCGUGGAAUUCCCGGUGUAGCGGUGAAAUGCGCAGAUAUCGGGAGGAACACCUGUGGCGAAAGCGGCGCACUGGACCACAUCUGACGCUGAGGCGCGAAAGCUAGGGGAGCAAACAGG